UUGAACGCUGGCGGCAGGCCUAACACAUGCAAGUCGAGCGGAUGAAGGGAGCUUGCUCCUGGAUUCAGCGGCGGACGGGUGAGUAAUGCCUAGGAAUCUGCCUGGUAGUGGGGGAUAACGUCCGGAAACGGGCGCUAAUACCGCAUACGUCCUGAGGGAGAAAGUGGGGGAUCUUCGGACCUCACGCUAUCAGAUGAGCCUAGGUCGGAUUAGCUAGUUGGUGGGGUAAAGGCCUACCAAGGCGACGAUCCGUAACUGGACUGAGAGGAUGAUCAGUCACACUGGAACUGAGACACGGUCCAGACUCCUACGGGAGGCAGCAGUGGGGAAUAUUGGACAAUGGGCGAAAGCCUGAUCCAGCCAUGCCGCGUGUGUGAAGAAGGUCUUCGGAUUGUAAAGCACUUUAAGUUGGGAGGAAGGGCAGUAAGUUAAUACCUUGCUGUUUUGACGUUACCAACAGAAUAAGCACCGGCUAACUUCGUG
rnacentral:rRNA from 1 species